ACCUCAACGAGAAAUGUAAACAAACCGAUGGCUUAGAUACCUCCACAAAAGCUACAUAGUAUAUAUUAACUGGCUUGUGGCAGCCAAGCGUUCAUAGCGACGUUGCUUUUUGAUCCUUCGAUGUCGGCUCUUCCUAUCAUACUGAAGCAGAAUUCAGUAAGCGUUGGAUUGUUCACCCACUAAUAGGAAACGUGAGCUGGGUUUAGACCGAAGAGAGACAGGUUAGUUUUACCCUACUGAUGAAAUGUUGUUGCAAUAGUAAUUGAACUUAGUACGAGAGGAACCGUUCAUUCGGAUAAUUGGUAUUUGGGCCUGCCUGAGCAGGCAAUGGCCCGAAGCUAUCAUCCGUUGGGUUAUGGCUGAACGCCUCUAAGUCAGAACCCGUGCUAGAACGCGACGAUUACCGCCUUUCGAUUUUUAGUUGAAUACGAAUAGACCUUCGGGUCCAAGAUCAUACUACGCGGGGUUAUGUUGCAGAGCGGAAAGGCUUUGUGAGGUGCCUGCUAAUGUUAAUUUCAAAUAUUGAAAGGGAUAAAUCCAUUGCAGACGACUUUAAUUGAACGGGGUAUUGUAAGCAGUAGAGUAGCCUUGUUGCUACGAUCUGCUGAGAUUAAGCCCAUUGUUCUAUAGAUUU
rnacentral:ncRNA from 1 species